CAUCUCACUACAUAAAGGCAGCUGGGGGGAGGCCGUGGAGGUCAUCCUGAGGGCGACGAGACCGAAGGAGGCGAGAGGCUGCGGCGGAAGUAAGGGAAGCCCGGAUCUCUAACCCUAUUCAUCUCAAAAGAUGAGUUCUCUGGGCUCCUUUCUUCCGUUUCUUGUGCAUUUGCUUUGAUUUCUGGGUUUUUGAUGGUUUUUUUCGGCAUAAAGUUUGAUUUUUAUUUUUGAUCUCUGGGAAGGAUUUGGUACUUGGGAGGAUUUUUUGGGUUCAUAGGAGGAGAAGAUUGGGGUGGGAAACAUCAAAGGUGGGAGCUUGGGCGUCAAUGUGAUUGUUGGGGUGAUAGUUUGAUCCCUCUUCUACGUGGGCUUUUGAUGGUGGUUUUGUUGAUCUUGCAAGGAGGCUGUUUUCGGUUUUAAGUUUCUUUUUUUUCUUUCUGUUUUUUUUGGGAUCUAGAGUUCUAUUUUUAAGGUUGUUUUAUGCUCCGUGGAGAUGGAUGCGUAAGGAUUUAAGGCUUUUGAGAUCGGGGUCUUCCCUACCGAGCAAAGGUGGGGUGAAGGGCAGAAGUUUUUGGAUUCCUUUCGCCGUUUGUCGUGUCUUUUUUGAAAAUUUUGGAUUGCUUUGGUGAAAUUGGGUUUGGAUUGGUUGUUUAUAGGCGUUUUUCGGCCGUAAGUUUUUAUUUUUAUUUUUCGGUUCUGGUGAUUUUCGAGUAGAAGGUUGCCGCUGAAUCGUCAAAUUGGAAAUUUCGGGUUCCUGGUCGGGCCUCCGUUUAGGUUUUAGAGUGAUUUGUGGAUAUAUUGGAGGAUCCCAACCAGAGAUUUCUGGGUCUAUUUAACAACAUCCGCAGCCUAUCAAAGUGUGAAGAGAUUUAGUCAGCACAAGUGGGAAAAUGGCGGAACAAAACUUGAAGGAAGAAGAAGGAUAUAAGGAGAAGGUCACAGUGAGAACGUUAUUUGGAGAAGAAAUUGAGGGUUUUGGCGAGGAUGGGUUUGAAGGCUCGAAGGAAGAGCAUCAGAUAUUUAUGGGGGUUUUCUAUGGAAGCAGUGCCGAUGAUGCAAGUAAUAAUAAUAAUAAUGUAUCAAGGAGGACAAAUUUCCAAUUGCAUGAGUGCAACCAAUCAAAACCACUGCCCAGUUUGAGUUGUAAUAGCUCAGCUGUGACUAGCUACUUCUCCCUGAAAGGUUCUUCAAGUGAACAGUUUGAGCAUGCAAAGAUGAAUCCUGGAGAAUUAAGUGGACCUGAAUGCUUUCCUGAAAGCUCCUCUUCCUGGGCUGGAGCAGAUGCUCACAAUCCAAAUGUGAUGAGGAUGGGACUAUCAUCUGUUGAGCUAUCAAAUAAUGUGAAUAUGGAACUUAACAGUAAUUUAGCUGAUGCUGAAUUUAGCUUGGUUGACUUGGACCCAUCAAAAGUUGCUUUGAGUUUGUCCAUUCAAGAUCCUCUCCAUGUUCGUCAACAAGCACCAUGCCGCAUAGUUGAAACAUGUGGUCGGGGCAUCUUAUCUAGUUACUAUCUUUUUAGUGGACAGGAAGAAAUGGAUGUAACUGGUGAUAUCGAUGAUACUGUUACCUUUAAUGGCAAAUGCAGAAGCCAAGACAAUAGAGAUCGCAAGACAGUUAUUAAAGCUAAAUCUGUUACCUCUCCUGUUUCUCAAGAGAGUUUUGCUCCUGGGCUUUUGGUAGCUAGUGCACCUGCAGCUUCUGUGGAGAUGCCUGGAUCACUAAUACACAUGAACCAUGGUGCCCAAGAAUCUAGUUUUCUGAACUCAGACAGAAUUGAUGCUGCAUCAAAGAGGACUUCUAUUAGGGAUCUUCCUGAUCGCCUUCGUGCACAUGCAAAUCACAUGCUUCUAGAUGCAGGAUGGGGGAUUGAGCCUCGCAAAAGGAGUGAUAGGACCAAAAUGGCUUCCUAUUUCAUAUCACCUGAAGGGAGAAGUUCUGUUACUUCACUGUCUCAAGCUUGGAAGACAUGUGGGAAGAUAUUAUCUGCUGCUGCACCAGACUCAGAACAAGAUGACUAUGGAAGGGAAUGGGACAAUGUUGAUAGGUUUUGGGGUGAUUUGACAGAUGUAUUGAUGUUCAUAGAAAAGAGGACUCAGCCUUCAGAUGACUCUCUACCACUUCUUCAGAGGUGGCAGCUUCUUGAUCCUUUCAUCGCUGUGGUUUGUAUUAACAAAAAAAUUGGUGUUCUAAGAGAGGGACGGGCACUGAGAGCUGUCAAUAGUGCUACAUUUGUUCUGAGUGAAAGAAAGAAUUCCGCCUUGGUGGAUAAUAUUGUGGAAAAAGAACUGGAGCAGGCUUAUGCAGCGAAGCCAACAAAUGGUUCGGCUAAGAAGGUGUAUAAGAGAUCCAAGAGAAUAUCAGAAAUUGAAGCUACUGAAAUAGGUGGCCAGGAAGAAUCCAGAGUACUUGAAAAGCUCUCAUCUGAAGCACCAGAAAUUCUUUUGACAAAAAAGGCACAAAAGAAGCAUGUCAAACGAGAAACUGAAGUAGCAAGGCAGUGUGGCAAGGACAAGAAGGGCAAUAUAACUAUGCUAAAAGUAUCCACGCCGAAGAAACCUAAAGGUUGUAAGAAAAGUGGACAAAAGCGGCCACGUGGAUUUUUUAUUAAUGAUGAUGAUCUGUUAGUUACCGGGUUUGUCAAAAACAAAGAUUUCAGCUCCCGUGAUAAAAAAAUUGCUUCAAAAGUAGGGGCUUCUAAGUCAAAUGCUCUAAGAAAGCUUAAAAGUCAAAAGCGAGGCUGUAGGUUGCUCCUGCGAACUCCUGGAAAAGGUGGAAAGCACUCCAUGGAUGGGAGGCGGUUAGUCCUCGGAGCAAGAACAGUGCUAUGCUGGUUGAUUGAGAUGGGUAUUGUAUCAUUGAAAGAUGUUCUGCAGUACAGGGACCUAAAGAACAAAGAUGUGGUAAAGGAUGGGUGGGUCACUAGGGAAGGAGUUCUUUGUAGAUGCUGCUCCAAGAUCCUCUCAGUGACCGACUUUAAGGUUCAUGCUGGUUCCAAGCUGCGAAAACCAUCUUCAAAUCUUUUUCUAGAAUCUGGUAAAUCAUAUACACUCUGUCUGCUUGAGGCAUGGACUGCUGAAUGCAAGGUGAGGAAAAAUCAUAUGCAAGUCAUGGAAGUUGAGGAGGUGGAUGCAAAUGACGAUACCUGUGGGUUUUGUGGUGAUGGUGGUGACUUAGUGUGCUGUGAUAACUGUCCAUCUACCUAUCAUCCUGAAUGCUUGCCGCCACAGGAGAUUCCAGAAGACAGUUGGUAUUGCCAUAAUUGCCUCUGUAAGACCUGUGGGGAUGUGGUUAAGGGAAAAGAAGCUUCAGGUUCCAUUGCUGUGUUAGAAUGUUUACAAUGUGAGAAUAAAUAUCAUGAUUGUUGCUUGAAGGAAAAAACUGCAUGCGAUGGUGAAAUUGUAUUGAGUAAAUGGUUUUGUGGGAGAAAUUGUCAAGAGGUUUACUCGGGUCUUCGCUCUCGGGUUGGAGUCCUGAAUUGUCUUGGUGAUGGGUUCUCAUGGACCAUCCUUAGAUGUAAUCAUGAAAUUAAAUCCAUACAGAAAAUACCACUAAUGGCUGAAUGCAACACGAAGCUAGCCAUUGCCCUGGGUAUCAUGGAGGAGUGCUUUCUCCCAAUGGUGGAUCCACGAACAGGGAUAGACAUGAUACCACAUGUCUUGUACAAUAGGGGGUCCAGCUUCGCUCGCUUAAAUUAUCAAGGAUUUUACACUAUAGUCUUGGAGAAGGGUGAUAAAAUCAUAUCUGUGGCAUCCAUCAGGGUGCAUGGAGUCACAGUGGCAGAGAUGCCUCUGAUUGCAACUUGCAGUGAGCAUCGUCGCCAAGGAAUGUGUAGAAGGCUGAUGGAUGCUGUAGAAAAGAUGCUGAAAUCUUUCAGAGUGAAGGCACUUGUAUUAUCAGCAAUUCCAGAACUGGUCAACACAUGGGUGUCGGGUUUUGGAUUCAAACCUAUCGAUGAUUAUGAGAAAAAAUGGCUCGAUCGUAUCAAUUUAAUGCUGCUUCCUACAACAUCAUUAUUGAUAAAGAGCUUGGAUGGAGCUCCAGCUGAAGCAUCAGAAAAUGCUGGAGGGGAAAGUGAUUUGUAUCAUGGUAAUCUAGGGGAUUCCAAUGAGAUGAAUGAUAGUGAGGCUGGAGAACAGGAUGCUGAAAAUGCUAUAGUUGAACCAGAUGCAGUAUCUGUACUCACAAAAAGCAUAUGAUGCAGUGAGCAGAACAUCCUGUGAACCCUAUUUUUGCUGCUAGACCUUGUGAAUGUGCAGUCUUCACAACAUUGAAUCAUUCAGCUCAGGGAUCUGAAAUCACUAACAUGUAUGAGAUGGAUCAGUACCAUUCAACAGAACAUGCUGUCAUUUUCACCAGAUGUAAGUUGCCCCUGUACCUACUGCUUAAGAUUCUUGUUCUGGCUCUUUUUCUUCUCCAGUUUCAGUUUAUGAAAUUCCUCCUAACUCUUGCUCCGGGGAACUGAAGGCAUCAUCAAGGAUGCAGAACAGAACACUGAUUAUCCAUGUAUAUUUUGAGGUUGGCGAAAUGCUGUGAAGAGUUAGCAGACGGGCUUCUGGAAGUGAUGAAAUUCAACAGAAAUGCUUCAUUGAUGUUUUGAGUUUCUUAACUGGACAAGCGGCAGAGAAACAUAUUUUGGUACUUCAGUGACUCAAGAACCUGCAGCAAUUGAUUAAUUCAGGUUGAGAUUAGUCCAAUGUUAGGAACAUGCACUUAGGAAAAAGCUAAGGAAGCCAAUAUGACUUACUGGCAAACAAGUUUUGCUUGAAAGGAUGACUGCAUAUGACUGAUUUGACUCUACUGAAAUGGUAAACCUUCAGAGAAACUGUCUGUAAAUAUGUUUUUUUGAACUUUGAAAAUGGAAAAAUGAGUAGUCCUCUAUUUGUUCUCUUGAGGAGUGCAGUGAACAUUGUGCUUUAACCAAUUGGCAAAAAAAGUUUCAUCUGCAGAGGCACCAGGAGACUGUAGUUGAUUUUGUUUGCCAUACUGAUACUGAAGGUCCAACUGUUUCAACUGGCUCCAGUCAGUGGCUGUUCAACUUUAUCACCAGCCAGAAGUUCUGCAAUCACAGUCAUAUAAAAAUGGAAGAAAAUAAUGAUUGUUAAAGGAGCCGCUUCAAAAUGAUUUUUUUUUUGAUGAAUUAUUUAGAGAGACCUAUUCCGAGGCAAUUGAUUGAGUUGUCCUUCAGGUGUAUGUCAACUGGAUAGGCUAACUAAUUUGUCUUCUGUGAUUGGACUCAGCAAAAACAGCAAAAAUCAAUCCAAAUUCAAUUCUUGCUUUUUAUUGUUCACAUCUGCUUAUUUUUCUGUUAGAUGGUUUGGAGUAAUUUCAUUCUUAAUUCUGCAUAGGGACUGCAGUAGUUCUGUGUGUGUUGUAAGUCUAAAUAUUUUCAAAUUGUGCUUAUGAUUUCUAGUGCAGUGGAGAUGGUGAAUAUCAGUUUGAGAAUGGGGCUUUACAACUGAAGAAAAAUAAUAUUUGUUUUUCAUCUUAAGACAAUCAGAUGCAGUGCUGAUUGUCAUUUAGGAUUUAAUCAGGUUAAGAAGCAACGUUGACAAAAGGACUUAGAAAUUCAAGAAACUUUGUAACUUCAGCAUUGGAAGUAGUCUGGGCUGGCUGGGAGUCUUCAAAGUUGGGGGAGACAAAUUGUUAUUAUCUUCUCGUAUGUUUGGUAAUAUCAUGACAGGAAUUUGCUUUUGCUUAUUUGGUUAUGAUAAGGAACUUUGUUCUUCGAUUGUCGAGGGCUCAUUCUACUUCAAUUAGUUGCUGUCAAAGAUUCCUUGCCUUCAUCAACCAUUUUCUCUUUAAGUAGUUUUAUUGAUUUUGUUGGAAUGGAGCAGAAUUUAAACUCUAAAGAGCAUGCCUAUUUUCUGAAAUAGCAGGUGACCUUGAUGCAAUGAGCACAAUCAGAUAAAUUGGUUCCAAAAAGUGCUGUAGCUAUGGCUCUUAGCGGGAUUCUUUUUUUUUUUUUUUUUCAUUUUUUUCUCUCCAACUCCUUUCACCUUUGCAAGGCAUAAGGCCCUGUGGAUGAUUCUUUUGGUCAGGGAGGUGAUCUGUUUAAGCUUUACAAAUAUGAAUCUUGGAUGAAACCUAUUGUUAUUAUUAAUAUUAUUUAGUGGCACUCUGUGGUCUAUUUGCUUUCUGUCAAUGUGUAUAUGCAGCUAUAAUAUUGCAUAAUAUACUAGUUCAGUUGUCUGGAUAGAAAAAAUUUCCUGAUUUGUCUCUAUUGCAUGCAUGCAUUUGCUGCAUUCAGAAAAGAUAAUGUUCCCAGUGUACAAUUCAAGGCCCGGUAUCUUACAUCAGCAUCUAUAAGAUUGGCUUAAAUUGUUAUAUGAUCACCUAGGUUUGGUAAAUUAGCAUGUGUGAUGGAAUGUAAUUGUUGAGGAUGAUUGUUGAGUGCUGAAAAAUAACAUAUAUCUAUGAAUUACUUAAAAAUUUUUAUUAUUUCAAGUUUUCCCCUUUCAUUGCCAACAAUGGUUUUGAUGUUUGUAUGACAACCUGAUGUAAGUACUAAGUAGGUUGUGGGCGUGGGUCCUUAAGGGGGCCGGGUGCCUAUUUCUUUUUUCUCAAUAUUUUGCUAGUAUCAGGUGACUUGUUUCAUCAGUUAAGAGUCAAUAAUUUGCCAUAAAAUUUAUUAGUGCGAUUUUACCAUCCACAUGAGAUAAGAGAUCUCUAACCAUUUGUUCUUAUUAUUGCUUAGUACUCGACCAUUGGACUUGUGUUUGCAUUUUAGACUUGUGUUUGCAUUUAAUGCCGAUCUCAUGAUAAUGAAAUAUGUGUGUUUUUUGCAUUGUUUUGAACCUGAUUGUUUGUUUGCACUCAGCUACUCCUGUGAAGUAACCUCUUGCUGUUUGUUUCCAUAUCUUUGCACUUUGGCUUCAGUAGUAUGUGCCUUUUAGUUAAAAGCUUUUAUUGAAGUAAAUUACUAGAGAGUAGAGACAAAAGGUCAGUCCUAAUUUUUGGGAACUUAACGUAGUAUCUUGAGUAUGUUUAUUUACGUAGUAAUGUUGCUUUUGAGCUUACUAAAGUGAUGACAUGAGAAAAUCCUUGACAUGCAGCUUGAUGAUUAUAAUAGAGAAUGUCAUAAGCUAGGUCCCAUGUAGAUAACCUGCCAGGUCCUUGCGCACAGGACAACAUCCUAUAUUGUACUCAUCCCAAUAUUAGAGGCUUGAUGUGGCCCACUUGUAACUUAAUUGUUAAAGAUAAUUUAAGAUAAUUAAGAUGAUAAUGAUAAAGAUAGACUUUAAAAUAAGAACUCCACUACUAUUAUGAUUCUGUGAUGGAAGUUGUGUUAAUCUAAAAGAGUUUCUGAUCUAGCCUAUAAAUAUAAUCUGUGACUCUCUAUCAGGAAUAGAUAUCGAGUUCCUCUAGCAUAGACGAGAAGAAUUUUUUUGCAGCAUUUUUUUGCAGGGUAGAAGCAAGGCAAAUCCGUCUGAUGGAUUCAUCUUCUGAUAUUCCUAUAAUGUUCUUGAUAUUUGAUUCAUUUGGACUUGAACAACAAUGGCUGAAGAGAGCUCAAGGAAUGCAGGGGUGGAAGUGAAAAAUUAUUCACUUGGAUAUAUCCUCUCUUUGUUGGAAAAGAGAGGAUAUAUACUAUCACAGACAUGAGCAGAAAAUCUGGUGUCUUUUGGGGCCUUUGAUAUUCCUACAAAUAUCCGUAAUGUGCAAGAGCAGCAAGACAAGCCUUUGACCUCUGUUUGCUUUCACCAGCCUUACCAUGUUGAUUCAUGCCAUGACUCUCAGACUAUUUAUAAUUUGUAACAAGAAGUUAUUAUACAGUGGGAGUGGAGAAUAUACAAAGUGAAUUUUCUGCUUGCAAACAUGACAUUUUGGAUUAAAGUCUGGCAAGGAUAAUUUUGGCUUUAUUAAGGCUAUUACAAAGUUCA